AUAAUUGUUAGUGUGAAAAAGGAACAUUCUAAUAACAGAAGCAGUUCUCCUCAGUAGACUGUAAGUCUGGAUUGAUCUUAAUUGAGAACAAUGAAGCUAUCUGAUCCUGCUUUAUUCAUGUUCUUGUGGCUGCAGCUAAACCGGUUUAGCAGAGGAGAGAAGGUGGAACAGCAUCCUUCUACCCUGAGUGUCCAGGAGGGAGACAGCGCUGUUAUCAACUGUACUUAUUCGGAUAGUACUUCGGACUACUUCCCUUGGUAUAAACAAGAAGCUGGAAAAGGUCCUCAGCGCAUUAUAGACAUUCGUUCAACUAAGGAGAUGAUUCAAAUCCGAAGACUCAUUGUUGUGUUGAAUAAGAGAGCCAAACACUUCUUCCUGAACAUCACAGACACCCAACCUGGAGACUCAGCUGUGUACUUCUGUGCAGCCAGUGCACGGUGCUUCCCAGACACCUGCAGCCUGUACUGA